CCUACGGGAGGCAGCAGUGAGGAAUAUUGGUCAAUGGCCGGGAGGCUGAACCAGCCAAGUCGCGUGAGGGAAGACGGCCCUACGGGUUGUAAACCUCUUUUGUCAGGGAGCAAGGUGCAGGUCGGGACCUGCUGUGAGAGUACCUGAAGAAAAAGCAUCGGCUAACUCCGUGCCAGCAGCCGCGGUAAUACGGAGGAUGCGAGCGUUAUCCGGAUUUAUUGGGUUUAAAGGGUGCGCAGGCGGAGGCACAAGUCAGCGGUAAAAUCGCGGGGCUCAACCCCGCCCCGCCGUUGAAACUGGGUGCCUUGAGUGCGCGAAGGGUAGGCGGAAUGCGUGGUGUAGCGGUGAAAUGCAUAGAUAUCACGAAGAACUCCGAUCGCGAAGGCAGCCUACCGGCGCGCAACUGACGCUCAUGCACGAAAGCGUGGGUAUCGAACAGGAUUAGAUACCCUAGUAGUC
rnacentral:rRNA from 1 species